AACAAAGGGGGAAAGCUGGUCUAAGUUGAUGGGAACGGGCAGAAGCUUCAAAGUAAAGGUGUCACUCCUCUUCUCUUCCAGGUCGCCACUGCCUCCUGUCCUUGGAGUGUUUUGGACACCAGAAUAAGGAGAACGGCUCCGCUCUACCUCACCCUCUCUACCUCCUGCCAUUCCUGCUUAUGUCUUCUUCCCCAUUCUUUUAUUUAUUCUUCUACCUGCAUCUAUGGGUUGUGUGGUGAGCAUAAAUGCUGACACACUGUGCUGACUAUGACUCCAUAGUUCAAGUCACUGGUGCCUCGGUGAUAGCAGAGGUGAGGAUGACCUUGGCUCUACACUUUAUCUGCACCAGAAACUUCAAUGCCAUGUGAUCCCAGAUCUUCUUUUCCUCUGCUCUCAGUUCAGCAUUCCAUCCAUUUGUCUGGCCUACCGGUGUGGAUCAUUGGAGAAUGACAUGACAUUCCAAACUGCCCUCCUUAGGCCAAGGGACUCUGUCCUUCUGUCCCGGCCUUGUCUGUGAGGAAAUCACACAGCUUCCUUGUUAGAAGCCACUAGUGACAGAAGCUGAGAACAGACCCACCUGUGCAUGACUGCGUAGGCCAGGCAGCUUCAUGAGAGGAGAGCCGCUGUCCAGAGCGUUGCUGAAGGGGAUGUCUGCUCCAACGGGACCCAGGCACUCCCAGAACAGGUCACCUGUACAUAAGGAUGAAAUCCAGCCACAGAAAAUGGCCAGGUGACAGCUGCAAGUUCAUCUUCAGAGUGACCAAAAAAGCUGGAGAGAGUCAUGCCCAGCUGCUGCUCCCGGAGGCUGAGUAGGAAGAGACAUGGCUGCCCUUGCUGCCAUUGCUGUCUCAACCUGGGAGCCUUGCUGAGAUGUGGGCAAAAAUGUGAGUCAAGAAAGGCCACGACUCUCUCUACAGUAUGGUUCUCUGGACUUCUUCCCAACUGGCUCACUGCCUCUACUUGAAUCUCACCCCAGAGUUCACAUGCAAAGAUUACCAAACGCCAACCUGGAUGCUGAGCUGCAGCCAGCACCCAUCAUUUCUGUGACAAGGAAUGUCCUCAAUCUCUCUUCCUCAGUUUUGCCAUCUUUAAAGAGGGACUCCUAGGGUCCUGGGUAGAUCAGAGGUGAUACACAGAGAGCACCUAGCACAGGGCUUUCACGUCACGAACACCCAAUAAACCACAGUUAUUAUUGGUAUGGA